CCUACGGGCGGCAGCAGUGGGGAAUAUUGCACAAUGGGGGAAACCCUGAUGCAGCGACGCCGCGUGAGUGAAGAAGUAUUUCGGUACGUAAAGCUCUAUCAGCAGGGAAGAAAAUGACGGUACCUGACUAAGAAGCCCCGGCUAACUACGUGCCAGCAGCCGCGGUAAUACGUAGGGGGCAAGCGUUAUCCGGAUUUACUGGGUGUAAAGGGAGUGUAGACGGCAGCGCAAGUCUGGAGUGAAAUCCCAUGGCUUAACCAUGGAACUGCUUUGGAAACUGUGCAGCUAGAGUGCAGGAGAGGUAAGCGGAAUUCCUAGUGUAGCGGUGAAAUGCGUAGAUAUUAGGAGGAACACCAGUGGCGAAGGCGGCUUACUGGACUGUAACUGACGUUGAGGCUCGAAAGCGUGGGGAGCAAACAGGAUUAGAUACCCCAGUAGUC
rnacentral:rRNA from 1 species